rnacentral:rRNA from 1 species
AUUGAACGCUGGCGGCAGGCCUAACACAUGCAAGUCGAACGGUAACAGGAAGAAGCUUGCUUCUUUGCUGACGAGUGGCGGACGGGUGAGUAAUGUCUGGGAAACUGCCUGAUGGAGGGGGAUAACUACUGGAAACGGUAGCUAAUACCGCAUAACGUCGCAAGACCAAAAAGGGGGACCUUCGGGCCUCUUGCCAUCGGAUGUGCCCAGAUGGGAUUAGCUAGUAGGUGGGGUAACGGCUCACCUAGGCGACGAUCCCUAGCUGGUCUGAGAGGAUGACCAGCCACACUGGAACUGAGACACGGUCCAGACUCCUACGGGAGGCAGCAGUGGGGAAUAUUGCACAAUGGGCGCAAGCCUGAUGCAGCCAUGCCGCGUGGAUGAAGAAGGCCUUCGGGUUGUAAAGUACUUUCAGCGGGGAGGAAGGGAGUAAAGUUAAUACCUUUGCUCAUUGACGUUACCCGCAGAAGAAGCACCGGCUAACUCCGUG